UACAGAGGGGGCAAGCGUUGUUCGGAAUUACUGGGCGUAAAGGGCGCGUAGGCGGCCUGUUAAGUCGAACGUGAAAUCCCCGGGCUCAACCCGGGAACUGCGUCCGAUACUGUCGGGCUCGAGUCCGGAAGAGGCGAGUGGAAUUCCCGGUGUAGCGGUGAAAUGCGCAGAUAUCGGGGAAGAACACCCGUGGCGAAGGCGGCUCUCUGGGACGGUACUGACGCUGAGACGCGAAAGCGUGGGGAGCGAACAGG
rnacentral:rRNA from 1 species